UGAUGAUUAGAUCAGAGACUGACAUGGGCGGAGGCAAAUGCUGGAAACCACAAUCUAAACUUUGUUCCCAUAAAAACUCUUGGCUAAUUUGCAAGUGAUGCACGAACUCCAGUUGAGCUGUACUCGGCCAUGGAAAAAAAGAGAGGAGAAGGAGUUCACCCUCCGCUUGCAGAGGGAUGGUGUGUCCCCUGAGGCUUCAGUAGAGGAGCGUGAGCUGCACCUGUGGCGUUUGCUCCAGCGCAGUGAGGGCAGCCUGUGUGCAGCCACUGAAGACCUGCAGACUUUACGCACCCAGCAGGCCAGCGAGAUGAUAGAGGUGAGCCAGCAGAUGGCAGGCUGGGCAUCCGCCUUAAAGAAUAGCUAAUGAUGGUCUCCCUCAUCAGCACUGUUAUAUGACGACACUGUUUCCUGAGUAAACACACUGCUUCUGUAGCUGAUGCUUCUGCUGUGCUGUGUGAUUGUUUGAUGGGUUUUUUCAAGGUGGAAAAUUACAUGGAGCAUAUUCGAAACAUGCUGGAGGAGCGGGAAUCUCUUACAGCAUAGUAUGAACAUGACAGCGAACAGCUCCGUGCUGAGCUCACUCUAAUGAAACACCAACAGGACUCUCAGUGUAAGGAGGUGGUGGAGAUGCUGGAGCAGGAGGGUCUAGCAGAGAUCAGUCAGAGCAGUGCCAGUGAGCAGGUGGCCUAUCUGCUGGUGGAGAGAGUCACUCUGCUGGAGAGACUGGAGGCUGCGGAAAGAAAACUGGACACCCAGACCCUUACCGGCAACCUCAGAGAGGUGCAUCUACAGGAAGAGCUGGAUCAUAUGCGUCACACAACAGAAGAGGAACUCAGGCAGCAAAAGGAAAACAUGAAUGAGGCCCACAGUGAAGAGUUCAAUAAAGAAUGCACAGUGUGCCAGAGGCUGGAGAGGGAUCUGGAAGAGGCAUAA
rnacentral:lncRNA from 12 species